AGGGAAGUGGGUGACAAGCACACACAGCUCACAGCUAAACUACUGCAAUCAAGUGGAUCAGAAACAGAAUUGGAGCUAUUUUAUCUGGACCUAAUUAAACAACCUUCAUUACUGGCAGGAAAGAGGACUGGGAACUUCUGCUAAAGCUGCUCCUCGCUUUCUGUGUGUCUGCUUUCUAUUAUAGUAGCAUCCAAAUGUGAUUAAUAUGGACAGCGAAAGGGAAAGCAAUGGAUGAGUAAAUGUUUGCUUGUCACAGACCACCUGGUAAACUCUGGCAUGGUGGAAUUUAAGCUCAGUAGGGUUUGAACUAAAUUUUCUUUUAAAAGAUCUUAAGUGUACGUACUUCAGUCUUGCUAAAGAUUUGGUCAAAGAGUGAAUGACUCACAGUCUGGAAAGAAAGAAUCAGCAAGGUUACAUGUGACACAAGUUCUACCAGAUGCUCCCAUUUUUUGUUGCUUCUCUUUGCAGGCUAGAAAGAAUACCGUAAUGAAAGUGGCCACAAUGAUGGAGGCUAAUGUUGUAACAGCACAGAACUGUUGCCAAAGCUGGAAACAUUCCCCAGAUGUUUUGCAUGUUCCAGCUGGAAUAAAGCAUUCAUAGCCUUUCUGGCAUUAUCAGCAGCAACAGGGUUCUGGCUCAAGAAACUAAAGAUUCCUUUGGAAACUGGCAAACUCAUCUGUCUGAGCCUCCUGUAAAUAAGCUAGCUACAAUAAAGUGCUCUUGCUGGCUGCCCUUAGUGGGCAACAGAUACAUUCCUACAAAAACAGAACAAAGGACAAAGGACAAAUAAUUCUAUAAAGGAAUCUUAGAUCAAAAUUUGGAAGGAAUCUCAAUUUUAAUGGUGACAAUCAGAGCAAUAAGACAAAGUUUAUGGGAAUAGUAGGUUAAGAUUCUCUCCCUGUCCCAGAAGUGUUAGUCCCACUGCAUUAUUUGGUCUUUUGUUUUUAAGCUCUCUGGAAAAGAAGAUGGGAAAUGAUAGACAAAUGUUUGUUGCUACCCUAAUUCUUGUACACCCUUCCCUUCACUUUUGUGUAUUUCAAAUUGAAUGACAGUCAGAAAUUUUCUAAGGAAAGUGUAAGCUCUGGCUUGUUUAUAUUUCACUUGUAAAAGUUUUCCCCAUCUUUUCCAUCCAACUUUCUUCAGCUUCAGUGUACUUCUGCGUAUCACUACCUUUGCUUGGGUUGUCCAGUCUGGUAAUGUAGCUGAUAGAGUUGCUCUUGUUAUGUGGAAUAUGUCUUGCUGUUGUUUCAAUUGCCUUUGUGACACCACGUGUGUUCUAAAGUUAGGGCCUCACUCUACCAGUGAUCUCAAGUGUUUGCUAAACAGAGGUGUUUUUUUUUCUGCUGGCAAUCCUGCUUUGAUGUUAUGCUUUGAGGUCCUUCUGAAUGCCUUCUGUGUGGGAAUGGUUUGAAAGAUGUGGGAGAAACUCUGUGUGAAAUAAGGAAUACUUGAGUUUUUAGGGGUUGUUCUGGCUGCCAGCCUUCAAACAUUCUACCUAGUUUUAAUAAAGUAGAACAGCCUCAAUGAGAAAUAC
rnacentral:lncRNA from 7 species